rnacentral:rRNA from 1 species
GGUUAAGCGACUAAGCGUACACGGUGGAUGCCCUGGCAGUCAGAGGCGAUGAAGGACGUGCUAAUCUGCGAUAAGCGUCGGUAAGGUGAUAUGAACCGUUAUAACCGGCGAUUUCCGAAUGGGGAAACCCAGUGUGUUUCGACACACUAUCAUUAACUGAAUCCAUAGGUUAAUGAGGCGAACCGGGGGAACUGAAACAUCUAAGUACCCCGAGGAAAAGAAAUCAACCGAGAUUCCCCCAGUAGCGGCGAGCGAACGGGGAGCAGCCCAGAGCCUGAAUCAGUGUGUGUGUUAGUGGAAGCGUCUGGAAAGGCGCGCGAUACAGGGUGACAGCCCCGUACACAAAAAUGCACAUGCUGUGAGCUCGAUGAGUAGGGCGGGACACGUGGUAUCCUGUCUGAAUAUGGGGGGACCAUCCUCCAAGGCUAAAUACUCCUGACUGACCGAUAGUGAACCAGUACCGUGAGGGAAAGGCGAAAAGAACCCCGGCGAGGGGAGUGAAAAAGAACCUGAAACCGUGUACGUACAAGCAGUGGGAGCACGCUUAGGCGUGUGACUGCGUACCUUUUGUAUAAUGGGUCAGCGACUUAUAUUCUGUAGCAAGGUUAACCGAAUAGGGGAGCCGAAGGGAAACCGAGUCUUAACUGGGCGUUAAGUUGCAGGGUAUAGACCCGAAACCCGGUGAUCUAGCCAUGGGCAGGUUGAAGGUUGGGUAACACUAACUGGAGGACCGAACCGACUAAUGUUGAAAAAUUAGCGGAUGACUUGUGGCUGGGGGUGAAAGGCCAAUCAAACCGGGAGAUAGCUGGUUCUCCCCGAAAGCUAUUUAGGUAGCGCCUCGUGAAUUCAUCUCCGGGGGUAGAGCACUGUUUCGGCAAGGGGGUCAUCCCGACUUACCAACCCGAUGCAAACUGCGAAUACCGGAGAAUGUUAUCACGGGAGACACACGGCGGGUGCUAACGUCCGUCGUGAAGAGGGAAACAACCCAGACCGCCAGCUAAGGUCCCAAAGUCAUGGUUAAGUGGGAAACGAUGUGGGAAGGCCCAGACAGCCAGGAUGUUGGCUUAGAAGCAGCCAUCAUUUAAAGAAAGCGUAAUAGCUCACUGGUCGAGUCGGCCUGCGCGGAAGAUGUAACGGGGCUAAACCAUGCACCGAAGCUGCGGCAGCGACGCUGAUGCGUUGUUGGGUAGGGGAGCGUUCUGUAAGCCUGCGAAGGUGUGCUGUGAGGCAUGCUGGAGGUAUCAGAAGUGCGAAUGCUGACAUAAGUAACGAUAAAGCGGGUGAAAAGCCCGCUCGCCGGAAGACCAAGGGUUCCUGUCCAACGUUAAUCGGGGCAGGGUGAGUCGACCCCUAAGGCGAGGCCGAAAGGCGUAGUCGAUGGGAAACAGGUUAAUAUUCCUGUACUUGGUGUUACUGCGAAGGGGGGACGGAGAAGGCUAUGUUGGCCGGGCGACGGUUGUCCCGGUUUAAGCGUGUAGGCUGGUUUUCCAGGCAAAUCCGGAAAAUCAAGGCUGAGGCGUGAUGACGAGGCACUACGGUGCUGAAGCAACAAAUGCCCUGCUUCCAGGAAAAGCCUCUAAGCAUCAGGUAACAUCAAAUCGUACCCCAAACCGACACAGGUGGUCAGGUAGAGAAUACCAAGGCGCUUGAGAGAACUCGGGUGAAGGAACUAGGCAAAAUGGUGCCGUAACUUCGGGAGAAGGCACGCUGAUAUGUAGGUGAAGUCCCUUGCGGAUGGAGCUGAAAUCAGUCGAAGAUACCAGCUGGCUGCAACUGUUUAUUAAAAACACAGCACUGUGCAAACACGAAAGUGGACGUAUACGGUGUGACGCCUGCCCGGUGCCGGAAGGUUAAUUGAUGGGGUUAGCGCAAGCGAAGCUCUUGAUCGAAGCCCCGGUAAACGGCGGCCGUAACUAUAACGGUCCUAAGGUAGCGAAAUUCCUUGUCGGGUAAGUUCCGACCUGCACGAAUGGCGUAAUGAUGGCCAGGCUGUCUCCACCCGAGACUCAGUGAAAUUGAACUCGCUGUGAAGAUGCAGUGUACCCGCGGCAAGACGGAAAGACCCCGUGAACCUUUACUAUAGCUUGACACUGAACAUUGAGCCUUGAUGUGUAGGAUAGGUGGGAGGCUUUGAAGUGUGGACGCCAGUCUGCAUGGAGCCGACCUUGAAAUACCACCCUUUAAUGUUUGAUGUUCUAACGUGGACCCGUGAUCCGGGUUGCGGACAGUGUCUGGUGGGUAGUUUGACUGGGGCGGUCUCCUCCUAAAGAGUAACGGAGGAGCACGAAGGUUGGCUAAUCCUGGUCGGACAUCAGGAGGUUAGUGCAAUGGCAUAAGCCAGCUUGACUGCGAGCGUGACGGCGCGAGCAGGUGCGAAAGCAGGUCAUAGUGAUCCGGUGGUUCUGAAUGGAAGGGCCAUCGCUCAACGGAUAAAAGGUACUCCGGGGAUAACAGGCUGAUACCGCCCAAGAGUUCAUAUCGACGGCGGUGUUUGGCACCUCGAUGUCGGCUCAUCACAUCCUGGGGCUGAAGUAGGUCCCAAGGGUAUGGCUGUUCGCCAUUUAAAGUGGUACGCGAGCUGGGUUUAGAACGUCGUGAGACAGUUCGGUCCCUAUCUGCCGUGGGCGCUGGAGAACUGAGGGGGGCUGCUCCUAGUACGAGAGGACCGGAGUGGACGCAUCACUGGUGUUCGGGUUGUCAUGCCAAUGGCACUGCCCGGUAGCUAAAUGCGGAAGAGAUAAGUGCUGAAAGCAUCUAAGCACGAAACUUGCCCCGAGAUGAGUUCUCCCUGACUCCUUGAGAGUCCUGAAGGAACGUUGAAGACGACGACGUUGAUAGGCCGGGUGUGUAAGCGCAGCGAUGCGUUGAGCUAACCGGUACUAAUGAACCGUGAGGCUUAACCUU